AUUCUUAUUAUCCCCUAUCUCUGCAGUGACAUUAUAAUUCAAGGGCUGACCAUUCUUGCUCCAGUUGACUCUCCAAACACUGAUGGAAUAGAUCCAGCCAAAUUGCUAUUCCAGAGUUAUAAGUGUUAAUGGCGAUGAACAUAUUAUAAUAUUUGCGAAGAGGGACAUUAAACAGUGGGAAGAGCUUACAUAUGAUUACAGGUUUACCUCUUCUCCAAAUGCGGCAGAGGGAGCAAUUGCUGUUAUUAUUAUUAGAAGUGUUUGGAAAGCAUCCUUGAAUAUCUUGCUGAUCAGAAGGACCCUACUACUUUAUGCCAGAAAUUUAUUGAUGAGUUUGAUCGAUGCAUCCUCAGUUAUUUCGCAUUUAAUUGGAACCAAGCUUCUUAUAUGAUUAGUCAGGGUGUAAAAUGUGGUAUUUAUGGUGCCAAUUCUGCAGAAUGGAUUAUGAGCACGCAGGUACAUUUUAUUUUUGAAUUUGCUUCCCUUGUUUUCUGGUGAGUUUUUUCCAUCUUGAUUUUUCUGCUCACUCUAUAUGUUGGAGGUUUCUAUUGUAUUAUUUAGAUGUUGAUAUGUUGAUUUUUGUUUCUUUUUUGCGCUGAGUAUCUAUUGUUAUUUCUAUUUCUACUAUAUUGUUUCUUUGGUAGUUGGAUUUUUGUAGUCCUUAUUGAGCUUAAUGGAGAAUAAGGUAUUUCUAGAUUGAAGCUUUGUUUCUUAUAUUGAAUAUCUACUCUUUGCAGAGAGUUCCACUUAUUUACGAACAAAGUCCUUUUAAAAUAAUGCAAGUAAAGAACUUACACUGAAACUUGUCCGGUACCUAAAAUUGUGAUAUAUAACUUUUCUAACAAUGAUAUGUUUUUUGAAGUUUACUGCAUGCAGUAAAUUCAAAUGGUGCAUG